CAUCUGAAUAAUAGGAAAAUCGUUAGGAAUUUCAGUUGGCAAUAUCUCGGUGUCAAGAUAUCUGACAAGAGAAUGUUUGAUUACAUGACAGUUGGAAAUCUUUUGUUCACCUUUCUCAUGCCAACAUUUGGGACAGGCUGUCCAUCUUACAACAAGACAAAGACAAAAACAAACACAAAGAAAAACACCCCGUGGCCUAAUCGUAUCUUUGCUAAUAUCCCAGUUGGCAAUAUCUCGCUGUCAAGUCCCUUCGUGGUCGUAUCUUUGCUAAUAUCCCAAUAGGCAGAAAUGCCAGAAGUGUUGCAAGCAAAAUAACCUCUAUGUUGCGUCAUCAGUGAUGUUCUGGUCAACUAUAGACAUCUGAAUAAUAGGAAAAUGGUUAGGAAUUUCAGUUGGCAAUAUCUCGCUGUCAAGAUAUCUGACAAGAGAAUGUUUGAUUACAUGACAGUUGGAAAUCUUUUUGUCGCCUUUCUCAUGCCAACAUUUGGGACAGGCUGUCCAUCUUACAACAAGACAAAGACAAAAACAAAGACAAAGACCCCGUGGCCUAA
rnacentral:lncRNA from 1 species